GGGUUGUGAGGUUAAGCGACUAAGCGUACACGGUGGAUGCCCUGGCAGUCAGAGGCGAUGAAGGGCGUGCUAAUCUGCGAUAAGCGCCGGUAAGGUGAUAUGAACCGUUAUAACCGGCGAUACCCGAAUGGGGAAACCCAGUGUGAUUCGUCACACUAUCAUUAACUGAAUCCAUAGGUUAAUGAGGCGAACCGGGGGAACUGAAACAUCUAAGUACCCCGAGGAAAAGAAAUCAACCGAGAUUCCCCCAGUAGCGGCGAGCGAACGGGGAGGAGCCCAGAGCCUGAAUCAGCAUGUGUGUUAGUGGAAGCGUCUGGAAAGGCGCGCGAUACAGGGUGACAGCCCCGUACACAAAAGCGCAUGUGCUGUGAGCUCGAUGAGUAGGGCGGGACACGUGGUAUCCUGUCUGAAUAUGGGGGGACCAUCCUCCAAGGCUAAAUACUCCUGACUGACCGAUAGUGAACCAGUACCGUGAGGGAAAGGCGAAAAGAACCCCGGCGAGGGGAGUGAAAAAGAACCUGAAACCGUGUACGUACAAGCAGUGGGAGCACCCUUUGGGUGUGACUGCGUACCUUUUGUAUAAUGGGUCAGCGACUUAUAUUCUGUAGCAAGGUUAACCGAAUAGGGGAGCCGGAGGGAAACCGAGUCUUAACCGGGCGUUAAGUUGCAGGGUAUAGACCCGAAACCCGGUGAUCUAGCCAUGGGCAGGUUGAAGGUUGGGUAACACUAACUGGAGGACCGAACCGACUAAUGUUGAAAAAUUAGCGGAUGACCUGUGGCUGGGGGUGAAAGGCCAAUCAAACCGGGAGAUAGCUGGUUCUCCCCGAAAGCUAUUUAGGUAGCGCCUCGUGAAUUCAUCUCCGGGGGUAGAGCACUGUUUCGGCUAGGGGGCCAUCCCGGCUUACCAACCCGAUGCAAACUGCGAAUACCGGAGAAUGUUAUCACGGGAGACACACGGCGGGUGCUAACGUCCGUCGUGAAGAGGGAAACAACCCAGACCGCCAGCUAAGGUCCCAAAGUCAUGGUUAAGUGGGAAACGAUGUGGGAAGGCCCAGACAGCCAGGAUGUUGGCUUAGAAGCAGCCAUCAUUUAAAGAAAGCGUAAUAGCUCACUGGUCGAGUCGGCCUGCGCGGAAGAUGUAACGGGGCUAAACCAUGCACCGAAGCUGCGGCAGCGACACUGUGUGUUGUUGGGUAGGGGAGCGUUCUGUAAGCCUGUGAAGGUGUGUCGUGAGGCAUGCUGGAGGUAUCAGAAGUGCGAAUGCUGACAUAAGUAACGAUAAAGCGGGUGAAAAGCCCGCUCGCCGGAAGACCAAGGGUUCCUGUCCAACGUUAAUCGGGGCAGGGUGAGUCGACCCCUAAGGCGAGGCCGAAAGGCGUAGUCGAUGGGAAACGGGUUAAUAUUCCCGUACUUGGUGUUACUGCGAAGGGGGGACGGAGAAGGCUAUGUUGGCCGGGCGACGGUUGUCCCGGUUUAAGCGUGUAGGUGUGUGUUCCAGGUAAAUCCGGUUCACUUUAACACUGAGGCGUGACGACGAGGCACUACGGUGCUGAAGCAACAAAUGCCCUGCUUCCAGGAAAAGCCUCUAAGCAUCAGGUAACAUCAAAUCGUACCCCAAACCGACACAGGUGGUCAGGUAGAGAAUACCAAGGCGCUUGAGAGAACUCGGGUGAAGGAACUAGGCAAAAUGGUGCCGUAACUUCGGGAGAAGGCACGCUGACACGUAGGUGAAGUGAUUUACUCAUGGAGCUGAAGUCAGUCGAAGAUACCAGCUGGCUGCAACUGUUUAUUAAAAACACAGCACUGUGCAAACACGAAAGUGGACGUAUACGGUGUGACGCCUGCCCGGUGCCGGAAGGUUAAUUGAUGGGGUCAGCGCAAGCGAAGCUCCUGAUCGAAGCCCCGGUAAACGGCGGCCGUAACUAUAACGGUCCUAAGGUAGCGAAAUUCCUUGUCGGGUAAGUUCCGACCUGCACGAAUGGCGUAAUGAUGGCCAGGCUGUCUCCACCCGAGACUCAGUGAAAUUGAACUCGCUGUGAAGAUGCAGUGUACCCGCGGCAAGACGGAAAGACCCCGUGAACCUUUACUAUAGCUUGACACUGAACAUUGAGCCUUGAUGUGUAGGAUAGGUGGGAGGCUUUGAAGUGUGGACGCCAGUCUGCAUGGAGCCGACCUUGAAAUACCACCCUUUAAUGUUUGAUGUUCUAACGUGGACCCGUUACCCGGGUUGCGGACAGUGUCUGGUGGGUAGUUUGACUGGGGCGGUCUCCUCCUAAAGAGUAACGGAGGAGCACGAAGGUUGGCUAAUCCUGGUCGGACAUCAGGAGGUUAGUGCAAUGGCAUAAGCCAGCUUGACUGCGAGCGUGACGGCGCGAGCAGGUGCGAAAGCAGGUCAUAGUGAUCCGGUGGUUCUGAAUGGAAGGGCCAUCGCUCAACGGAUAAAAGGUACUCCGGGGAUAACAGGCUGAUACCGCCCAAGAGUUCAUAUCGACGGCGGUGUUUGGCACCUCGAUGUCGGCUCAUCACAUCCUGGGGCUGAAGUAGGUCCCAAGGGUAUGGCUGUUCGCCAUUUAAAGUGGUACGCGAGCUGGGUUUAGAACGUCGUGAGACAGUUCGGUCCCUAUCUGCCGUGGGCGCUGGAGAACUGAGGGGGGCUGCUCCUAGUACGAGAGGACCGGAGUGGACGCAUCACUGGUGUUCGGGUUGUCAUGCCAAUGGCACUGCCCGGUAGCUAAAUGCGGAAGAGAUAAGUGCUGAAAGCAUCUAAGCACGAAACUUGCCCCGAGAUGAGUUCUCCCUGAGACUUUAGGUCUCCUGAAGGAACGUUGAAGACGACGACGUUGAUAGGCCGGGUGUGUAAGCGCAGCGAUGCGUUGAGCUAACCGGUACUAAUGAACCGUGAGGCUUAACCUUACAACGCCGAAG
rnacentral:rRNA from 6 species